rnacentral:rRNA from 1 species
UACGUAGGGGGCGAGCGUUGUCCGGAUUCAUUGGGCGUAAAGCGCGCGUAGGCGGCUCGACAAGUCGGCCGUGAAAUCUCCAGGCUUAACUUGGAGGGGUCGGGCGAGACUGUCGGGCUCGAGGUGGGCAGAGGGCAGUGGAAUUCCGGGUGUAGUGGUGGAAUGCGUAGAGAUCCGGAGGAACACCAGUGGCGAAGGCGGCUGCCUGGGCCUGGCCUGACGCUGAGACGCGAAAGCGUGGGGAGCAAACAGG